rnacentral:rRNA from 1 species
CGCUAGCUACAGGCUUAACACAUGCAAGUCGAGGGGCAGCAUGGUCUUAGCUUGCUAAGGCCGAUGGCGACCGGCGCACGGGUGAGUAACACGUAUCCAACCUGCCGUCUACUCUUGGACAGCCUUCUGAAAGGAAGAUUAAUACAAGAUGGCAUCAUGAGUCCACAUGUUCACAUGAUUAAAGGUAUUCCGGUAGACGAUGGGGAUGCGUUCCAUUAGAUAGUAGGCGGGGUAACGGCCCACCUAGUCUUCGAUGGAUAGGGGUUCUGAGAGGAAGGUCCCCCACAUUGGAACUGAGACACGGUCCAAACUCCUACGGGAGGCAGCAGUGAGGAAUAUUGGUCAAUGGGCGAGAGCCUGAACCAGCCAAGUAGCGUGAAGGAUGACUGCCCUAUGGGUUGUAAACUUCUUUUAUAAAGGAAUAAAGUCGGGUAUGCAUACCCGUUUGCAUGUACUUUAUGAAUAAGGAUCGGCUAACUCCGUGCCAGCAGCCGCGGUAAUACGGAGGAUCCGAGCGUUAUCCGGAUUUAUUGGGUUUAAAGGGAGCGUAGAUGGAUGUUUAAGUCAGUUGUGAAAGUUUGCGGCUCAACCGUAAAAUUGCAGUUGAUACUGGAUAUCUUGAGUGCAGUUGAGGCAGGCGGAAUUCGUGGUGUAGCGGUGAAAUGCUUAGAUAUCACGAAGAACUCCGAUUGCGAAGGCAGCCUGCUAAGCUGCAACUGACAUUGAGGCUCGAAAGUGUGGGUAUCAAACAGGAUUAGAUACCCUGGUAGUCCACACGGUAAACGAUGAAUACUCGCUGUUUGCGAUAUACAGCAAGCGGCCAAGCGAAAGCGUUAAGUAUUCCACCUGGGGAGUACGCCGGCAACGGUGAAACUCAAAGGAAUUGACGGGGGCCCGCACAAGCGGAGGAACAUGUGGUUUAAUUCGAUGAUACGCGAGGAACCUUACCCGGGCUUAAAUUGCAGAUGAAUUACGGUGAAAGCCGUAAGCCGCAAGGCAUCUGUGAAGGUGCUGCAUGGUUGUCGUCAGCUCGUGCCGUGAGGUGUCGGCUUAAGUGCCAUAACGAGCGCAACCCUUGUUGUCAGUUACUAACAGGUCAUGCUGAGGACUCUGACAAGACUGCCAUCGUAAGAUGUGAGGAAGGUGGGGAUGACGUCAAAUCAGCACGGCCCUUACGUCCGGGGCUACACACGUGUUACAAUGGGGGGUACAGAGGGCCGCUACCACGCGAGUGGAUGCCAAUCCCAAAAACCUCUCUCAGUUCGGACUGGAGUCUGCAACCCGACUCCACGAAGCUGGAUUCGCUAGUAAUCGCGCAUCAGCCACGGCGCGGUGAAUACGUUCCCGGGCCUUGUACACACCGCCCGUCAAGCCAUGGGAGCCGGGGGUACCUGAAGUGCGUAACCGCGAGGAGCGCCCUAGGGUAAAACUGGUGAC